GUCUGUGCGGCCCCGUGUCACGUUGUACCUGGUUAUAUGUGCUGAAGUCUCUGAGCUACUCCCACAGUCAAGCUGGUCACAAAUCGGAUUGGGCCUCAUUUUCACCCUGAAGGAAACUGAGGCUGAGAGUUGCUGAGGCCUGCCCUAAAGGUUGUGGCAAGAGACUCAGCUGGAGGUGAGGUUCCUCUCCUCUAACCUCAACAGGACUCUCCCCACUGGUACGCUACAACAGCUUGGAAGCCUGUAGCCUCUCGCCUGAGAAGCUUUCCUGCCACUGGACAUGGAUCCCACUGGCAGGGUCUCUGCUGUGACCGACAGAAGAUGCCGGCCCUGGGAGAGGCAACCAGUGAGGGCCCUACACAGAGCAUGCCUGCGCCUGGACUGACCCAGCCUUCAGUUCAUCCACCCCACAGACAUUGGCUCAGGGUCUCCCCUGGUGGAAUGUGGACCAUGGCCUGUUGUUACAGGCUCAGGUAGAUUGUCGACAAUGGUGCUCCAGUAUUCUCGGCCUGGGGGAGCUUGCAUCCUGCAUAGCCCCUUAAUUUUUGCAGAUGAGGACACUGAGACUCAGAGAUCUGAAAUAGCUUGUCCAAGGUCACACAAGAAAGCCAGGUUCAAGGCCUGGCUCCACCACUGCCUUGUCUUGUGGCCUUGAGCAAGUUCCUUGGCCUUGCUGGGCCUGUUUCCUAAUCUCUGAAGGGGGAUAAGUACCUAGUCCACAAGGCUAAUGUGGGAGUUAAAUGAGAUGAUCCAGCUGAGGGCCUCAUCAAAGGCCCUCUGCUCAUGGGAGGAGUCCCGUACAGUCCACCUCCAUCUCUGAAUCUGCAUUACCCUUGUUUUAUUAUUGUCAUGCAGUUGGCAACAACCACUACAAUCAAAUGAAGACCUCGGAAGCCAAGGCUGUGCAGCUGUUGCACAAAGUUCCUCGAAAGUCCCUCUUGCCUUCCAUCCUCCCCAUGUUCCCACAUGGUAGAGAUGGCAAGUCUCCUUUCUUUCAUUUUACUGAUGAGAUAAAACUUCAGUCAAAGAUGUGUCCUAAACCUGUGCUCUCCACUUCCUGGUUUCCCUGCUCUUUCUGUCUCCACCUGCUGCCAAUUAGAAUAUUCCCACUGGUAGGAUAUUCCAGCCAUGAGGGCGCUGAGUGUGGGAAAGAAGGAAUACCCCCUCCCACCCCAAAUCAAUGGAAAUCACCUCAGCAUUCUUCUUACUGUUUUCUAUUUUUUCUUGGGUUCAUCUCCAGGGGCUGCGGGUUGGGGGCUAAGGACUGGGGGUCCUUGACUGACUGCACAGGGCUGGAUCUGACGGAGCAGAUAGAACGCAUUUCCCAGCUCUGGGGCUGUGGCCAGUGACAACUUUAACGGCAAAGAAUUACCAUCAAUUGUGUCCUGUGGCUGAAGGGAUUUAUGGACAUUUUAUGUGACUCUAUGGACACAGACCCAAGGUUCCAACUGAACAGAGCUGGGAAGAAACACAGUGGCCCUUGUUAAACGGAAAGAAUGAGUUUAAUGUAUACAGGGAGAGGGUAAGGGGUGGCGGUGGGGAGACAGAAGGAAAGGAGGUUCCCCGUGUUAAAUAUUUACAAUUUGGGACUUGGGUCCUGUAUUUCCAAAGGUGGUGGCAGGAGGGUGAUUUCCGUAAUAUAUUCCUCCCUCAAAACCCACCUUGCAUGAGAAACUGCAGCAGGCACAAAAUAUUGCUCAUGAAUAUUAAUCAGUAAACUCCCCCUGCCAGUUGGGAAUGGGGGCUGGUACUAAAAUACUCCCUCCCCAACCCCCAAAGGCAAACAGCCCCCAAGGAAAACCCUGAAGCCAGCUCCCCAGGCUGACAGCAGAAGUAUUCCUGGCCGUGGGGUCAGAGGGCAUGGCCAGGGGAGGGGUCAGCUUUGUUUCCACUGUGUGUUGGUGAAUGCCAAACCUUUAUGGAACUUUGCUAGCUGUGUUUUGGGCUAUUUAGCUGCAAAACCAAAAGAUUUAUUUUUUCCCUCUCUCUCCUUUUGGGUUUUGUCUUCCACUGGCAGCAGUAACAUAUGCAGGUCUGGAGGCCGUUAAGGCAGGCCAGGCUCUCUCCCAUCCGAAGAAAAGAAAAGACAGGUCUUAAUUAAAAGAGAACCCAACAUUUGUAAAGCCAGCACAAACAUUCCCAACAUCCACCACCAUUGCUUCUGUGAUCUUUUCAAUAGACAAAGGAAAAAUGAGUGGCAUGGGAGGCAUCUUUCAUGAUACAUUUUAUCUGUACAACCUGUUACCUUUUUUUUUUUUUUUUUUUUUUUUUUGAGAUGGAGUCUCGCUCUGUCACCCAGGCUGCAGUGCAGUGGCGCCAUCUCGGCUCACUGCAAGCUCUGCCUCCCGG
rnacentral:lncRNA from 10 species